CUUUCCAGAGAUGGAUUGGUGCCUUCGGGAACUGUGAGACAGGUGCUGCAUGGCUGUCGUCAGCUCGUGUUGUGAAAUGUUGGGUUAAGUCCCGCAACGAGCGCAACCCUUAUCCUUUGUUGCCAGCGGUCCGGCCGGGAACUCAAAGGAGACUGCCAGUGAUAAACUGGAGGAAGGUGGGGAUGACGUCAAGUCAUCAUGGCCCUUACGACCAGGGCUACACACGUGCUACAAUGGCGCAUACAAAGAGAAGCGACCUCGCGAGAGCAAGCGGACCUCAUAAAGUGCGUCGUAGUCCGGAUUGGAGUCUGCAACUCGACUCCAUGAAGUCGGAAUCGCUAGUAAUCGUGGAUCAGAAUGCCACGGUGAAUACGUUCCCGGGCCUUGUACACACCGCCCGUCACACCAUGGGAGUGGGUUGCAAAAGAAGUAGGUAGCUUAACCUUCGGGAGGGCGCUUACCACUUUGUGGUUCAUGACUGGGGUGAAGUCGUAACAAGGUAACCGUAGGGGAACCUGCGGUUGGAUCACCUCCUUA
rnacentral:rRNA from 1 species